AACGAACGCUGGCGGCAUGCCUAACACAUGCAAGUCGAACGAUUGCCUUCGGGUGAUAGUGGCGCACGGGUGCGUAACGCGUGGGAAUCUGCCCUUAGGUUCGGAAUAACAGCUGGAAACGGCUGCUAAUACCGGAUGAUAUCGCGAGAUCAAAGAUUUAUCGCCUGAGGAUGAGCCCGCGUUUGAUUAGGUAGUUGGUGGGGUAAAGGCCUACCAAGCCGACGAUCCAUAGCUGGUCUGAGAGGAUGAUCAGCCACACUGGGACUGAGACACGGCCCAGACUCCUACGGGAGGCAGGAGUGGGGAAUAUUGGACAAUGGGCGCAAGCCUGAUCCAGCAAUGCCGCGUGAGUGAUGAAGGCCCUAGGGUUGUAAAGCUCUUUUACCCGGGAAGAUAAUGACUGUACCGGGAGAAUAAGCCCCGGCUAACUCCGUG
rnacentral:rRNA from 1 species